rnacentral:rRNA from 1 species
CCUACGGGGGGCUGCAGUGGGGAAUAUUGGACAAUGGGGGGAACCCUGAUCCAGCCAUGCCGCGUGUGUGAAGAAGGCCCUCGGGUUGAAAAGCACUUUCAGUGAGGAAGAACGCCUGGUGGUUAAUACCCAUCAGGAAAGACAUCACUCACAGAAGAAGCACCGGCUAACUCCGUGCCAGCAGCCGCGGUAAUACGGAGGGUGCGAGCGUUAAUCGGAAUUACUGGGCGUAAAGCGCGCGUAGGUGGCUUGAUAAGCCGGUUGUGAAAGCCCCGGGCUCAACCUGGGAACGGCAUCCGGAACUGUCAAGCUAGAGUGCAGGAGAGGAAGGUAGAAUUCCCGGUGUAGCGGUGAAAUGCGUAGAGAUCGGGAGGAAUACCAGUGGCGAAGGCGGCCUUCUGGACUGACACUGACACUGAGGUGCGAAAGCGUGGGUAGCAAACAGGAUUAGAUACCCUGGUAGUC